AUUAGCUCACUGUUAAGUCAAAAUUCGUGCUGGUUAGUGUGCCUUAUGGUGCAAUUAUUGUGCAAUUAGUCUUAAUCUAUUUCAGUUUAAUGUCUAAGUUCAAGUUUUGAGUAAGACUUGAUCUGUUGGUGCCGGAUUAAACCUUAGUGUACCUAAUUGCUUUCAUUAGAUUACAAAACAGCUAUAAAAGCUAAUCAUUACAUACACAUAGGCG
rnacentral:lncRNA from 1 species